rnacentral:rRNA from 1 species
GGGUGACGAGUGGCGGACGGGUGAGUAAUGUCUGGGGAUCUGCCCGAUAGAGGGGGAUAACCACUGGAAACGGUGGCUAAUACCGCAUAACGUCGCAAGACCAAAGAGGGGGACCUUCGGGCCUCUCACUAUCGGAUGAACCCAGAUGGGAUUAGCUAGUAGGCGGGGUAAUGGCCCACCUAGGCGACGAUCCCUAGCUGGUCUGAGAGGAUGACCAGCCACACUGGAACUGAGACACGGUCCAGACUCCUACGGGAGGCAGCAGUGGGGGAAUAUUGCACAAUGGGCGCAAG